GUCCGCAAGGACAAUUUGAUAAUUGACCUCAAAUCAGUACGUCUUACCCUCAUAUGC
rnacentral:rRNA from 1 species